AACAAAAGACCAAGAUAAACCAAAGGAUCAAGAACUAAAAGGCUCCCAUAAUUCUUUUCACCAAAUGUAACCCAAGAUGUGGAAAGGAAAAUAGCACUAGAUGAAACAAAUCCAACAACUGAAGAAAUCCAAUAUACAUUUGUCCCCUCUAAUGAUGAAGUAGACUCUUCUAUUACACAAGACUUCUUACAAGAAUGCUUUGACAAACCAUUACUUCAAAUAAAAAAGCGCAAAACAGCUGCAACAAGAGAUACAGAAAAUGUAAACACAAUUGAAGUAAACAUGCAAGCAAUGAAUACAG